GACGUAGGGCGCGAGCGUUGUCCGGAUUUAUUGGGCGUAAAGAGCUCGUAGGCGGCUAUUCACGUCGGAUGUGAAAGCUCAAGGCUCAACCUUGAGAGGCCAUUCGAUACGGGAUAGCUAGAGGUAGGUAGGGGAGAUCGGAAUUCCUGGUGUAGCAGUGAAAUGCGUAGAGAUGUGGAGGAACACCGAUGGCGAAGGCAGCCCCCUGGGUCAAGAUUGACGCUCAUGCACGAAAGCGUGGGGAGCAAACAGG
rnacentral:rRNA from 1 species